rnacentral:rRNA from 1 species
UGGGGGAUAUUGCACAAUGGGCGCAAGCCUGAUGCAGCGACGCCGCGUGAGGGAUGACGGCUUUCGGGUUGUAAACCUCUUUCGCUACCGAACAAGGCUCCAUAUUGGUGGGGUUGAGGGUAGGUGGAUAAGAAGCGCCGGCUAACUACGUGCCAGCAGCCGCGGUAAUACGUAGGGCGCGAGCGUUGUCCGGAAUUAUUGGGCGUAAAGAGCUCGUAGGCGGCUUGUCGCGUCUGCUGUGAAAACGCGGGGCUUAACUCCGCGCGUGCAGUGGGUACGGGCAGGCUAGAGUGUGGUAGGGGUGACUGGAAUUCCUGGUGUAGCGGUGGAAUGCGCAGAUAUCAGGAGGAACACCGAUGGCGAAGGCAGGUCACUGGGCCAUUACUGACGCUGAGGAGCGAAAGCAUGGGGAGCGAACAGG